rnacentral:lncRNA from 1 species
UGAUAGUUUCCUGUAUCCCUCACUCCCCUGCAACGGGAUUGCUGGGGUCAGCCCUCUGCUGGCGGCCCCUUGUGAGACUUCACAGAGGGCCUCUCCUUGAGCCCAGGCAGGCCCUAGAGCAGAUCCAUCUUACCAGCAGAGUGAGGUUUCAUUCUAGUGCGGAAAAUGAAUAUUUUGGGAUAUAUUGUUAUUAUAACAAAGUCAGGUGUUCAUGCUUUCCGGUACCUGCUAAACAAAAUUACUUGUUAUUUUGGAAGGUGAUACCAACUCCAUCCCGAAGUACCUCAGUUUUGGGCCCUGGUCAGUAACUGUUUCCUUGUUUAUGUUUUGGUUUUUUUAUUUGGGGGGGGGAACAACAGUAGAACCUUGUUCAGCAAUAGGUUAGAAGUGAAACUAAGUGAAGAAAAGAAAUAGAUUAAAUUUAAAGUAAUACUUAACAUUGUGGCCUGGAGCUAGAUAAUGGGGUUAGGAUAGGGGAGAGGAUGAGGGGGGGUUAGAGGUUAGAGAGCAGCUUAGCUAAUCUUGUUAGGAUCAUUUUA